rnacentral:rRNA from 1 species
AUUGAACGCUGGCGGCAUGCUUUACACAUGCAAGUCGAACGGUAACAGGUUAAGCUGACGAGUGGCGAACGGGUGAGUAAUGCAUCGGAACGUGCCCGGUCGUGGGGGAUAACGCAGCGAAAGCUGCGCUAAUACCGCAUACGAACUGAGGAUGAAAGCGGGGGACCGUAAGGCCUCGCGCGAUCGGAGCGGCCGAUGUCAGAUUAGGUAGUUGGUGGGGUAAAGGCUCACCAAGCCGACGAUCUGUAGCUGGUCUGAGAGGACGACCAGCCACACUGGGACUGAGACACGGCCCAGACUCCUACGGGAGGCAGCAGUGGGGAAUUUUGGACAAUGGGCGCAAGCCUGAUACAGCAAUGCCGCGUGCAGGAAGAAGGCCUUCGGGUUGUAAACUGCUUUUGUACGGAGCGAAAAGGCUCUCUCUAAUACAGGGGGCUCAUGACGGUACCGUAAGAAUAAGCACCGGCUAACUACGUGCCAGCCGCCGCUGUAA